CCCAUGAUUUCAGGAUUUCUGCCAGCUGGAUCAAUAUUCAUAGGCUCAACCCACGAUGUGGGCUAGAAAUUCGUGGGUUGAACCUAUGAUUUUUGUUGAUGUCGGCCCAACUACCGAAUUUUCAGAAAUACUUUUCAAAUGGGGUGCUUUUGGAAUUUUUUAUUUAAUAAAUAUUAUUUUUAAAAAAAAAUUUAUGUUGGUGCACAUGGACGG
rnacentral:lncRNA from 1 species